GUGGGGAAUUUUGGACAAUGGGGGCAACCCUGAUCCAGCCAUUCCGCGUGAGUGAAGAAGGCCUUCGGGUUGUAAAGCUCUUUCGGCAGGAACGAAACGGUGAGCUCUAACAUAGCUCGCUAAUGACGGUACCUGAAGAAGAAGCACCGGCUAACUACGUGCCAGCAGCCGCGGUAAUACGUAGGGUGCGAGCGUUAAUCGGAAUUACUGGGCGUAAAGCGUGCGCAGGCGGUUGUGUAAGACAGGUGUGAAAUCCCCGGGCUUAACCUGGGAACUGCGCGUGUGACUGCACGGCUAGAGUAUGGCAGAGGGGGGUGGAAUUCCACGUGUAGCAGUGAAAUGCGUAGAGAUGUGGAGGAACACCGAUGGCGAAGGCAGCCCCCUGGGCCAAUACUGACGCUCAUGCACGAAAGCGUGGGGAGCAAACAGGAUUAGAUACCCCGGUAGUCC
rnacentral:rRNA from 1 species